AGUGAACGCUGGCGGUAGGCCUAACACAUGCAAGUCGAACGGCAGCACAGGAGAGCUUGCUCUCUGGGUGGCGAGUGGCGGACGGGUGAGGAAUACAUCGGAAUCUACUCUGUCGUGGGGGAUAACGUAGGGAAACUUACGCUAAUACCGCAUACGACCUACGGGGGAAAGCAGGGGACCUUCGGGCCUUGCGCGAUUGAAUGGGCCGAUGUCGGAUUAACUAGUUGGCGGGGUAAAGGGCCACCCAGGCGACGAUCCGUAGCUGGUCUGAAAGGAUGAUCAGCCCCACUGGAAAUUAGAAACGGUCCAGACUCCCUCGGGGGGCAACAGUGGGGAAUAUUGGACAAUGGGCGCAAGCCUGAUCCAGCCAUACCGCGUGGGUGAAGAAGGCCUUCGGGUUGUAAAGCCCUUUUGUUGGGAAAGAAAUCCAGCUGGCUAAUACCCGGUUGGGAUGACGGUACCCAAAGAAUAAGCACCGGCUAACUUCGUGCCAGCCGCCGCAGUAA
rnacentral:rRNA from 1 species